AUUGAACGCUGGCGGCAUGCCUUACACAUGCAAGUCGAACGGCAGCACGGGAGCAAUCCUGGUGGCGAGUGGCGAACGGGUGAGUAAUAUAUCGGAACGUGCCCAGUCGUGGGGAUAACGUAGCGAAAGCUACGCUAAUACCGCAUACGAUCUAUGGAUGAAAGCGGGGGAUCGCAAGACCUCGCGCGAUUGGAGCGGCCGAUAUCAGAUUAGGUAGUUGGUGAGGUAAAGGCUCACCAAGCCGACGAUCUGUAGCUGGUCUGAGAGGACGACCAGCCACACUGGGACUGAGACACGGCCCAGACUCCUACGGGAGGCAGCAGUGGGGAAUUUUUGGACAAUGGGUGCAAGCCUGAUCCAGCAAUGCCGCGUGCAGGAUGAAGGCCUUCGGUU
rnacentral:rRNA from 1 species